rnacentral:rRNA from 1 species
UGGGGAAUUUUGGACAAUGGGGGAAACCCUGAUCCAGCCAUCCCGCGUGUGCGAUGAAGGCCCUCGGGUUGUAAAGCACUUUUGGCAGGAUAGAAACGUCAUGGGUUAAUACCCCGUGAAACUGACGGUACCUGCAGAAUAAGCACCGGCUAACUACGUGCCAGCAGCCGCGGUAAUACGUAGGGUGCAAGCGUUAAUCGGAAUUACUGGGCGUAAAGCGUGCGCAGGCGGGUCGGAAAGAAAGAUGUGAAAUCCCAGAGCUCAACUUUGGAACUGCAUUUUUAACUACCGGGCUAGAGUGUGUCAGAGGGAGGUGGAAGUCCGCGUGUAGCAGUGAAAUGCGUAGAUAUGCGGAGGAACACCGAUGGCGAAGGCAGCCUCCUGGGAUAACACUGACGCUCAUGCACGAAAGCGUGGGGAGCAAACAGG